UACGUAGGGUGCAAGCGUUGUCCGGAAUCAUUGGGCGUAAAGAGCGUGUAGGCGGCUCGGUAAGUCCGUUCUGAAAGUCCAGGGCUCAACCCUGGGAUGCGGAUGGAUACUGCCGGGCUCGAGUCCGGAAGAGGCGAGUGGAAUUCCCGGUGUAGCGGUGAAAUGCGCAGAUAUCGGGAGGAACACCAAUGGCGAAGGCAGCUCGCUGGGACGUGACUGACGCUGAGACGCGAAAGCGUGGGGAGCAAACAGG
rnacentral:rRNA from 1 species